rnacentral:lncRNA from 1 species
CUGUAUACUUAAAAGUUAUGCAAAGGGUACAUAUUAUAUCUGUGUAAUCACACUAAAGGAAGUAAAAAAAUCAUCAAGCAGAAGAGAUGCUGAGCAGAAGCAGGGCAUAAUAUCCUGAGGAACUGGGGGAGGAGCCACACAGCAUCAGGUCAAAUGUGGCAGCUCCUUCUACCACCAUGGUCCUCGUGGAUGAGGGAACUGAUGAAAACGGUGUGUACAGAAAUCAUCACUCCAGUGACGAACAGUCAGGGUGAGAAGAAGAAGCUCCCCUACCCCAGGAACCACUGGAAGAAUUGCCCGCCUUUGAGGGAGAAGAAGAGGCUCUGUCUGACACUGAGACUGACUCGAAGUGUGGCACAGAAGCUUUCUCUCACUGAAGAACAGUCUCUGACUAGCUGCCCCACUCCAAUACUUCCAGUAACCCAGGUCUCUAAAAAAACAGUACUCACAAUACAUCUUACCCAGACUCACAAUGAAAUGAAAGUAUCAAGAACAUUUUGGUUUGAAAGGGAUAAGGCAGGAGAAAAGAGAACAAAGGAAGGCCUGGAAGUGAAGGGGUGGCCAAGUUGAAUCUGCUUUUUAUAUGAUUGAAUAAAUUCAGAAUAUUCAAGUGACUUUCCCGAGGU